rnacentral:rRNA from 1 species
UUAAACUGAAGAGUUUGAUCAUGGCUCAGAUUGAACGCUGGCGGCAGGCUUAACACAUGCAAGUCGAGCGGUAACAGAGAUAGCUUGCUA